rnacentral:rRNA from 2 species
CGGUCCAGACUCCUACGGGAGGCAGCAGUAGGGAAUCUUCCGCAAUGGGCGAAAGCCUGACGGAGCAACGCCGCGUGAGUGAUGAAGGGUUUCGGCUCGUAAAACUCUGUUAUUAGGGAAGAACAAAUGUGUAAGUAACUGUGCACGUCUUGACGGUACCUAAUCAGAAAGCCACGGCUAACUACGUGCCAGCAGCCGCGGUAA